GUAUGAUGGUCGAAGUUUGUCAGAUGGUUUUCAGAUGGUGUAUGAUGGUGUAGGGUGGUUAUACAGGGAAGGGUUGUCAGAUGGUGAAGAUGGUACAGAUGGUGUAUGAUGGUUGAAGUGUGUCAGAUGGUUGUCAGAUGGUGUAUGAUGGUGCAUGAUGGUCGAAGUGUGUCAGAUGGUUUUCAGAUGGUGUAUGAUGGUGUAGGGUGGUUAUACAGGGAAGGGUUGUCAGAUGGUGAAGAUGGUACAGAUGGUGUAUGAUGGUCGAAGUGUGUCAGAUGGUUUUCAGAUGGUGUAUGAUGGUGUAGGGUGGUUAUACAGGGAAGGGUUGUCAGAUGGUGAAGAUGGUACAGAUGGUGUAUGAUGGUCGAAGUGUGUCAGAUGGUUGUCAGAUGGUUGUCAGAUGGUGUAUGAUGGU